UGGGGAAUUUUGCACAAUGGGGGAAACCCUGAUGCAGCGACGCCGCGUGAUUUAGAAGGCCUUCGGGUUGUAAAAAUCUUUUGUAUGGGAAGAAAAUGACAGUACCAUACGAAUAAGGACCGGCUAAUUACGUGCCAGCAGCCGCGGUAAUACGUAAGGUCCGAUCGUUGUCCGGAAUCAUUGGGCGUCAAGGGUACGUAGGCGGAUAAGCAAGUUAGAAGUGAAAUCCUAUAGCUCAACUAUAGUAAGCUUUUAAAACUGCUCAUCUUGAGGUAUGGAAGGUAAAGUGGCAUUCCUAGUGUAGCGGUGAAAUGCGCAGAUAUUACGAGGAAUACCGGUUGCGAAUGCUACUUUCUGGCCAUAUACCGACGCUGAGCUACGAAAGCGUGGGUAGCAAACAGG
rnacentral:rRNA from 1 species